rnacentral:rRNA from 1 species
CCCAGACUCCUACGGGAGGCAGCAGUGGGGAAUAUUGGGCAAUGGGCGCAAGCCUGACCCAGCAAUGCCGCGUGAAGGAAGAAGGCCUUCGGGUUGUAAACUUCUUUUAUCAGGGACGAAGGAUGUGACGGUACCUGAUGAAUAAGCUCCGGCUAACUACGUGCCAGCAGCCGCGGUAAUACGUAGGGAGCAAGCGUUAUCCGGAUUUACUGGGUGUAAAGGGCGCGUAGGCGGGAUGGCAAGUCAGAUGUGAAAUCCACGGGCUCAACCUGUGGCCUGCAUUUGAAACUGUACUUCUUGAGUACUGGAGAGGCAGACGGAAUUCCUAGUGUAGCGGUGAAAUGCGUAGAUAUUAGGAGGAACACCAGUGGCGAAGGCGGUCUGCUGGACAGCAACUGACGCUGAGGCGCGAAAGCGUGGGGAGCAAACAGGAUUAGAUACCCCCGUACA